GAUGAACGCUGGCGGCGUGCUUAACACAUGCAAGUCGAACGGACGAUGAAGAGCUUGCUUUUCAGAGUUAGUGGCGGACGGGUGAGUAACGCGUGGGUAACCUGCCUCAUACAGGGGGAUAGCAGCUGGAAACGGCUGAUAAAACCGCAUAAGCGCACAGCAUCGCAUGAUGCUGUGUGAAAAACUCCGGUGGUAUGAGAUGGACCCGCGUCUGAUUAGCUAGUUGGUGAGGUAACGGCCCACCAAGGCGACGAUCAGUAGCCGGCCUGAGAGGGUGACCGGCCACAUUGGGACUGAGACACGGCCCAAACUCCUACGGGAGGCAGCAGUGGGGAAUAUUGCACAAUGGGGGAAACCCUGAUGCAGCGACGCCGCGUGAAGGAAGAAGUAUCUCGGUAUGUAAACUUCUAUCAGCAGGGAAGAUAAUGA
rnacentral:rRNA from 1 species